UCGCCGGCAAUCAGGUGAAAUGCUGAAAUACAAAAUGUGUCGAGGAAGUUGUCAAAACAUUGUGAUAACACUUUCUAGCCUCAACAACGACACUUGAUGGGGUACUUGGAGGCUACAUCCUGGCCUUAAUUGUGGUUGCGGCUUAAAUUGUUCUGCUCCUGUCCUUAAAGUACAUUAAUUUCGCAGCGAGGACCUUAUUUAUUGUUAGACUGCCCCAGCCAUGGAUAUUUUGCCAACAGCCUUCAGGAGAAAUUAAUCUGUCGGACGCGAAAUUUACGAGGCGUUGGGUGUCCAAAAGUUUCCGUGCAUUUUUCUGCCUUUGAAUAUUAACCUUUUGAAAUGGUACUGCGGCGCAAAAACAUUAACUUCCACUUAUCGUAAAUCAGCUGUUGGUAGGUGACAUUCUUGAAAAAUCAUUCUGGCCCGGACUGGCGUGGCAUGCUGGGGAGCACCAAUAUGGUUGAAUGGCAUAAAUGGGCGAAAAUUCAAAUAUGGCUUGCAGGACUCAGUUCGAUCCGGUUCGUUUCUGCUCUCGACUGUCAUAAAUCACAUAAAUGUGUGACCACAUCAGCAGCAUGCCGCAGAAAAAAAGCCAGAAACCAAAAAUAAUAAAAACACAACGAGUACCGCAGAAUAUGGGUUCAAUUAAGCAGUAAAGUGGAUGAUAUACGAUGGCUUA